rnacentral:rRNA from 1 species
AUGGCCGGGUCCUUCGUCCUGAACACCGGCGCAAGGAUCCCAUCGAUCGGCCUCGGCACAUGGCAGAUAGAACCUGAUGUUGUUGGCGACGCCAUCUACGCUGCUGUCAAGGCUGGAUAUCGGCAUAUUGAUUGUGCUCCAGCAUACCACAAUCAGAAACAGGUUGGUUUGGCUUUAAAGACAUUGUUUGAGGAUGGUGUGGUUAAGCGUGAAGAUUUGUUUGUCACCUCUAAACUAUGGUUUGGUGAUCAUGCACCUGAAGAUGUGCCGGAGGCAAUUGACACUACUCUUAAAGAUUUGCAGCUUGACUUCUUAGAUUUGUUCCUCGUUCAUGGUCCAGUCCGGAUCAAGAAAGGAACUACGCUGAGCCCUGAAAAUUUGCUUCCACCGGAUAUCACUGCUACAUGGGGAGCGAUGGAGAAACUAUACGCCUCCGGCAAGGCCCGAGCAAUCGGUGUCAGUAACUUUGCUUGCAAGAAGAUGGAUGACUUGCUUGCCGUCGCACGCGUGCCUCCAGCAGUCAACCAGGUUGAGUGUCAUCCGAUUUGGCAGCAAGACAAGCUCCGCAAACUAUGCCAGUCGAGGGGUGUUCAUCUUUCUGCAUAUUCACCAUUAGGUUCACCUGGAUCACCUCUAUCUGUGGUCAGUGGUGCUAGUGUCCUUAACAAUCCUAUUGUCACCUCUGUUGCCGAGAAGUUGCAGAAAACGCCUGCACAGGUCGCCCUACGCUGGGGUCUUCAAAUGGGCCAGAGUGUACUUCCAAAAAGCACCGAUGAAGCAAUGAUUAAGGAGAACUUUGACAUAUUUGAUUGGUCCAUUCCCGAAGAUUUGAUGGCCAAGUUCUCCGAAAUCAAACAGGAAAGGUUGCUGAAAGCGGAAUUCGCAGUCCACCCUCUAAGCAUUUACAAAACCUUGGAGGAUCUUUGGGAUGGAGAAAUUCAAAGCACAUCAACUUCUCUAGAAUGA